rnacentral:rRNA from 1 species
GACGAACGCUGGCGGCGUGCUUAACACAUGCAAGUCGAACGGAAAGGCCCUGCUUUUGUGGGUUGCUCGUGUGGCGAACGCGUGAGUAACACGUGAGUAACCUGCCCUUGACUUUGGGAUAACUUCUGGAAACUCCGGCUAAUACCGCAUAGGAGCUCCUGCUGCAUGUUGGUCGUUGGAAAGUUUCGGCGGUUGGGGAUGGACUCGCGGCUUAUCAGCUUGUUUGUGGGGUAGUUGCUUACCAAGCCUUUGACGGGUAGCCGGCCUGAGAGGGGGACCGGCCACAUUGGGACUGAGGGACGGACCAGACGCGUACGGGAGGCAGCAGGGGGGAGUAUUGCGGAACGGGCGGGAGCGUGAUGCAGCGGCGCCGCGUGCGGGAUGACGGGCUUCGGGGGGUAAACCGCUGUGGCCUGUGACGAAGAGUGAGUGACGGUAAUGGGUAAAGAAGCACCGGCUAACUACGUG